rnacentral:rRNA from 1 species
GAUGAACGCUAGCUACAGGCUUAACACAUGCAAGUCGAGGGGAAACGACAUCGGAAGCUUGCUUUUGAUGGGCGUCGACCGGCGCACGGGUGAGUAACGCGUAUCCAACCUGCCCACCACUUGGGAAUAACCUUGCGAAAGUAAGACUAAUACCCAAUGACGUCUCUAGAAGACAUCUGAAAGAGAUUAAAGAUUUAUCGGUGAUGGAUGGGGAUGCGUCUGAUUAGCUUGUUGGCGGGGUAACGGCCCACCAAGGCGACGAUCAGUAGGGGUUCUGAGAGGAAGGUCCCCCCACAUUGGAACUGAGACACGGUCCAAACUCCUACGGGAGCAGCAGUGAGGAAUAUUGGUCAAUGGACGAGAGUCUGAACCAGCCAAGUAGCGUGCAGGAUGACGGCCCUAUGGGUUGUAAACUGACUUUUAUAAGGGAAUAAAGUGAGUCUCGUGAGACUUUUUGCAUGUACCUUAUGAAUAAGGACC